GACGAACGCUGGCGGCGUGCUUAACACAUGCAAGUCGAACGAAGAGCGAUGGAAGCUUGCUUCUAUCAAUCUUAGUGGCGAACGGGUGAGUAACGCGUAAUCAACCUGCCCUUCAGAGGGGGACAACAGUUGGAAACGACUGCUAAUACCGCAUACGAUCUAACCUCGGCAUCGAGGAUAGAUGAAAGGUGGCCUCUACAUGUAAGCUAUCACUGAAGGAGGGGAUUGCGUCUGAUUAGCUAGUUGGAGGGGUAACGGCCCACCAAGGCGAUGAUCAGUAGCCGGUCUGAGAAGAUGGACGGCCACAUUGGGACUGAGACACGGCCCAGACUCCUACGGGAGGCAGCAGUGGGGAAUCUUCCGCAAUGGACGAAAGUCUGACGGAGCAACGCCGCGUGAGUGAUGACGGCCUUCGGGUUGUAAAGCUCUGUUAAUCGGGACGAAAGGCCUUCUUGCGAAUAGUGAGAAGGAUUGACGGUACCGGAAUAGAAAGCCACGGCUAACUACGUG
rnacentral:rRNA from 1 species